CCCCUGCCAGGCGAUGACAGCAAGGUGGUUUGUGAAUUCAUGGAGACAGCCAGCCGCGAUUCUCCUGGCGAUGACAGACACCAUUUGGGAAGUUGAGCAGGGAAAAAGACAAGGACGGCAGGAGCAGGUUCCAGGGACGGCAUCCGACAAUUCUGGGAAGGGAGUUCUUCCUGCCUGUCCCCUUCCCCACCUCCCCCGGAUCCACGUCUCCACGGUGGCCUGGCCUGGCAUGGCCGGGUGGCCUUCACCCUCUGGACAGAGCCGGGAGGAGAGCGUGCCUGCCUCGGGAGGUGUGCGAAGGUUCUAAGUGGAAUAGCCAGGAGCCCUUCUGAAACCUCACUCUGCAAGCCCGCCCACCCUCAGCGCUCCCCCGUGCUCGUGGCGGCCUGGAGAGCUGGGGUGCAAAGCCCCAGACGGUGCGGCGACUGAGCUGGAGGCGGGCCGGGGUGAAGCUACACCAUGGCAUCGUGUAACUUCCAUGGUCACUACAGCCUGCCAAGAGAAAGCUGGAGGACCACACAGGGGCUGACAUCACUAGGAAUGGAAAUGGCAUACAUCAAUUCCUCCCAUGUCCCAUUGGCCAGAAAUGGUCACAUGGCUCCAAUCUAAUUGCAAGGGAAUCUGGGAAAGCUUCAGAAUUAACUCGCCUGACUCCCUCCCUGAAUAACAUGGAUUUUUAAAAGCUGGAAAAAAAAAGCUGAAGAGUGAUUU